rnacentral:rRNA from 1 species
UACAGAGGGUGCGAGCGUUAAUCGGAAUUACUGGGCGUAAAGCGCACGUAGGUGGCGACGUAAGUCGGGUGUGAAAGCCCCGGGCUCAACCUGGGAAUUGCAUUCGAGACUGCAUUGCUGGAGUACGGAAGAGGAAGGCGGAAUUCCCGGUGUAGCGGUGAAAUGCGUAGAUAUUCGGAAGAACACCAGUGGCGAAGGCGACUCACUGGACAGGUAUUGACGCUGAGGUGCGAAAGCGUGGGGAGCAAACAGG